rnacentral:rRNA from 1 species
AAUGCUUAGGAAUCUGCCUAUUAGUGGGGGACAACAUUCCGAAAGGAAUGCUAAUACCGCAUACGCCCUACGGGGGAAAGCAGGGGAUCUUCGGACCUUGCGCUAAUAGAUGAGCCUAAGUCAGAUUAGCUAGUUGGUGGGGUAAAGGCCUACCAAGGCGACGAUCUGUAGCGGGUCUGAGAGGAUGAUCCGCCACACUGGGACUGAGACACGGCCCAGACUCCUACGGGAGGUAGCAGUGGGGAAUAUUGGACAAUGGGCGCAAGCCUGAUCCAGCCAUGCCGCGUGUGUGAAGAAGGCCUUUUGGUUGUAAAGCACUUUAAGCGAGGAGGAGGCUACUUGGAUUAAUACUCUAGGAUAGUGGACGUUACUCGCAGAAUAAGCACCGGCUAACUCUGUGCCAGCAGCCGCGGUAAUACAGAGGGUGCGAGCGUUAAUCGGAUUUACUGGGCGUAAAGCGUGCGUAGGCGGCUUCUUAAGUCGGAUGUGGAAUCCCUGAGCUUAACUUAGGAAUUGCAUUCGAUACUGGGAAGCUAGAGUAUGGGAGAGGAUGGUAGAAUUCCAGGUGUAGCGGUGAAAUGCGUAGAGAUCUGGAGG